ensembl:lncRNA
AUUCACCCCUUCAUCAGUGUGUGGAGAGGAUAUUACCCAAAAACCAGUACACCUAAAGAGAUGAUCCCAGGUGAGACAAGUCUGUUUCCAUUAAUGUACCUCUGGUAUGAAACAACAGAACCUCAGAAUGAAGAGACUGGAACCCCCUAGAAAACAAAGAUUGUAUGUUUGCUUUGUGGUGAUUUUGCCUCAGUAAAACAAGGGUGAUGACGUGUACUGCUGCAGAUGUUGUAGGCUUACCUCUUGGGUUAGAAAGCUUAAAGUUGUUAACAGCUUGCAGAUGCACUGUGAGAUUUAGCUUUUUGCUAAAACUCAAAUACAUUGCACCUUAAUUUUUUUACUUUUCUUUUAAGUAGCUAUAUGUAUCUAAUAUAUAUUUUUACUGUAUUAUUUAAUAUUAUUAUAUUACAAUGUUUCUUUUCAAAGCACUUUUAGUUUUGUUUCUGUAGCAGUGCUGUUUUUAGGUGGGUUUGAAUAUCGAGGUAGAUUUGUGUCUUUAUUAUGGAAUCAAACAGAAUAGGUUUGAGAGCAAAACUUUCCACACUACAAUCUAAAAAUAGAUUUGAGAGCAAAACUAUCGACACUGCAAUCAAAAAAUGUUUUAUUGCAAGUAAAAUAAAUGUGAUCAAAAAAUUAUUAAUGGGAAUCCAAAAGUUUUGUUUGCAAAUCCAAAAGUUUUGUUUGCAAAUCUAAAAGUUUUGUUUGUGAAUCCAAAAGUUUUGCUUGAGAAUCCAAAAGUUUUGCUUGCGAAUCCAAGUUUUGUUUGCGAAUCCAAAAGUUUUGCUUGCUGUUGAGCUGAAUCUCGUGGGCGGGACUUACGACACGUCUCUAUUGGCCAGUCUCGAUCGGAGUGACAGCAUGGCAACAUCCACAGUUAGUAACGAGAGAGGGAGUUUUGAAGUCCAUGAUGAGACAGAGCGGGACUCGGGAGCUGAGAGGACAGAAAAUCAAUGCACAGGUAUGUCUUCUGUCAUAGUAAUAGCAAGAAUGUUAUGUUUGAACUGGUGCAUGUAGAUUGCUUUUGUUUAACGAUCUGUGGAUGUUGUAAUAGGUUAAAAAAUACAAAUUAUUUUGUCAGCCUGUAGCUGCUAGCUUAGCUCAAUUACCUGGUCAUAGGUAUGCUACGUGCCCGGGCUGCCUAUUAGCCUGCAUGACGUUGUGCAUGUAGCUACUAGUUAACAGGACUAUUUGUGUUCAACGAUCUCUCGUUACUAACUGUGGAUGUUGCCAAGCUGUCACUCCGAUCGAGACUGGCCAAUAGAGACGUGUCUUACAUCUUUCGGCGUAGGUCCCGCCCACGAGAUUCAGCUCAACCGCAAGCAAAACUUUUG